UAAAUAAGCAUCGAACUUCAUCACAGAGAACUUCAAGAUAAAGCAAUAUAAUGGAACUGAUCUCAUUAUCAAUAUACUCAAACUAAAUAUGAUAUGCUGAUAGAACAUGAACCAACAACAAAGAGCACAUGUAACUGUUAAUGAGAGCAAUCAUACAUGAUAAACCCAAAACAAACACAAUUCAUAACCUGCCUAAUGCAAUCUAACCAUCUAAAAGAACACAAUUCGUGACUCCGUAUUGAUGUGCAGCCAUCGCCAUAACUCAACCCUAA
rnacentral:lncRNA from 1 species